rnacentral:rRNA from 1 species
AACGAACGCUGGCGGCGCGCCUAAUACAUGCAAGUCGAGCGAGAAGACGUAGCAAUACGUUUGUAAAGCGGCGAACGGGUGAGGAAUACAUGGGUAACCUACCCUCGAGUGGGGAAUAACUAGCCGAAAGGUUAGCUAAUACCGCGUACGCUCCUUGGACUUCGGUUCAGGGAGGAAAGCGAUACCGUGGGUAUCGCGCUCUUGGAUGGGCUCAUGUCCUAUCAGCUUGUUGGUGAGGUAACGGCUCACCAAGGCUUCGACGGGUAGCUGGUCUGAGAGGACGAUCAGCCACACUGGCACUGCGACACGGGCCAGACUCCUACGGGAGGCAGCAGUAAGGAUAUUGCGCAAUGGGCGAAAGCCUGACGCAG